rnacentral:rRNA from 1 species
GAUGAACGCUGGCGGCGUGCCUAAUACAUGCAAGUCGAGCGAACAGACGAGGAGCUUACUCCUCUGACGUUAGCGGCGGACGGGUGAGUAACACGUGGAUAACCUACCUAUAAGACUGGGAUAACUUCGGGAAACCGGAGCUAAUACCGGAUAAUAUAUUGAACCGCAUGGUUCAAUAGUGAAAGACGGUUUUGCUGUCACUUAUUGAUGGAUCCGCGCCGCAUUAGCUAGUUGGUAAGGUAACGGCUUACCAAGGCAACGAUGCGUAGCCGACCUGAGAGGGUGAUCGGCCACACUGGAACUGAGACACGGUCCAGACUCCUACGGGAGGCAGCAGUAGGGAAUCUUCCGCAAUGGGCGAAAGCCUGACGGAGCAACGCCGCGUGAGUGAUGAAGGUCUUCGGAUCGUAAAACUCUGUUAUUAGGGAAGAACAAAUGUGUAAGUAACUAUGCACGUCUUGACGGUACCUAAUCAGAAAGCCACGGCUAACUACGUG